rnacentral:rRNA from 1 species
CACGUAGGCACCAAGCGUUGUCCGGAUUUAUUGGGCGUAAAGAGCUCGUAGACGGUUGAGUAAGUCGGGUGUGAAAACUCUGGGCUUAACCCAGAGCCGCCACUCGAUACUGCUCUGACUUGAGUUCGGUAGGGGAGCAGGGAAUUCCUAGUGUAGCGGUGAAAUGCGCAGAUAUUAGGAGGAACACCGGUGGCGAAGGCGCUGCUCUGGGCCGAAACUGACGCUGAGGAGCGAAAGCGUGGGUAGCAAACAGG